rnacentral:rRNA from 1 species
UACGGGGGAGCAAGCGUUGUUCGGAUUUACUGGGCGUAAAGGGCGCGUAGGCGGCCACCGCAAGUCGACUGUGAAAUCUCCGGGCUUAACCCGGAAAGGUCAGCCGAUACUGCGGGGCUAGAGUGCAGAAGGGGCAACUGGAAUUCUCGGUGUAGCGGUGAAAUGCGUAGGAUAUCGAGAGGAACACCUGCGGCGAAGGCGGGUUGCUGGGCUGACACGUGACGCUGAGGCGCGAAAGCUAGGGGAGCGAACGGG